UACGUAGGCAGCAAGCGUUGUUCGGAGUUAUUGGGCGUAAAGGGCUCGUAGGCGGUUUGUCGCGUCGGGAGUGAAAUCCACUGGCUUAACUGGUGGCUUGCUUUCGAUACGGGCAGACUGGAGGUAUGCAGGGGAGAACGGAAUUCCUGGUGUAGCGGUGAAAUGCGCAGAUAUCAGGAGGAACACCGGUGGCGAAGGCGGUUCUCUGGGCAUGUCCUGACGCUGAGGAGCGAAAGUGUGGGGAGCGAACAGG
rnacentral:rRNA from 1 species